GAUGAACGCUAGCGGCAGGCCUAAUACAUGCAAGUCGGACGGGAUUCAGGAGCUUGCUUCUGAUGAGAGUGGCGCGCGGGUGCGUAACACGUAUGUAACCUACCUUUAUCAGGGGGAUAGCCUCUCGAAAGAGAGAUUAAGCCCGCAUAAAAUCACAGCACAGCAUUGUGUAAUGAUCAAAUAUUUAUAGGAUAAAGAUGGGCAUGCGGAACAUUAGCUAGAUGGCGGGGUAACGGCCCACCAUGGCGACGAUGUUUAGGGGAUCUGAGAGGAUGGCCCCCCACACUGGUACUGAGACACGGACCAGACUCCUACGGGAGGCAGCAGUAAGGAAUAUUGGUCAAUGGGCGGAAGCCUGAACUAGCCAUGCCGCGUGCAGGAAGACGGCCCUACGGGUUGUAAACUGCUUUUAUACGGGAAUAAACCCAGAUACGUGUAUCUGGCUGAAUGUACUGUAAGAAUAAGGAUCGGCUAACUCCGUG
rnacentral:rRNA from 1 species